ACGUCACAUGUCUGUCUAUAAAAAAAUUGUUCCUUUCGUUUCUUAAUACACGGGCUUUUACGUAAUUAUCUUUGGGCUUUGCAGUUUGCUAUUUUAGGUUUAAAAACCUAUCCCGAUGUCCAAUACAUCCAUCUCCGAGAAGGCAAACCAUCGGGGUUCACCGUCUUCUUCGAUCUCUGCAUAUCUCAACCACCAAUGGAGGCCAGUAUGGUUCUAAGAGAUGACCCUUCGUUAAGAAUCUCUAAAAUCGAGCUCCAUCCGGGUCGUGUUGUUUCGUUUGAGAUUCUUCCCCUCAGAACCCGUAACAGGAUGCAUUAAUUCAUCGCAAUUAACGACGUUCAUAACUCCUUCAACCUACUCCAAGGACGAUUCCUCAUUCAAUGCAUCUUUCCUCUACAGGUGAUUGAUCUCCAGCUAUAAAAAGAUGAGCUUUCAUCCCGUUAACAGAUCACUCUGGCUCAACGUAAACAAUGAAUGGAAAAAGUCUUCGCUUUGCAUGUUUUACAGUCCAAUUCCAUCUCACUACUUCUCCAAGAAGGCUCCGGUGAGAUCUCCGGUGACUAAUGAGAACUCCAUGUCGAAGAGAUUCUUCAAAUGGCUGUUUCCUCCUCCUCCGGCUCGACGCAUCAUCAUGAGGCGGCAUGGCUCCGUGAAACAGAAGGGGGCGGCGUGGGUUUGGAUAAGAUCCGGCGAUUCUCCAAGAGUUUCUCUAGAAAGUACGAGCUUGGUUCGUGGCCAUUAACCAGCUGCUAAUGUUAUUCACAAAGCAAAUAUUACGACGGCAAUUGCCACUGAGGAUGUGAAGAGAAAAGUGAAGAUAUUGAAAACUUUGUCUGGUCAUGACAAUCUACUCAUUUCUAUGAAGCAUAUGAUCAGGAUCAUAAUGAUGUCUAUACUGCGAUGGAGUAAGCUCUCUUUUAGUUCAAACUUCCUUGGAGAGUCUUAUACAAGUGAUUUGUUGUUUUAAGCUAUGUCAAAAAGUAGAGAUUUUGGAUAGAAUACUUUCAAGUUUCAAGGUAAGGGGACACUAGACAGUACACUUCAGACGUAGGACUGUUUGUUAUAUACUGAACUCGGUAGUGUGUUUUAUGUGCAGAGGCGGAAGUACACAGAGGAGGAUGCAAAUACUGUUAUCAUACAAAUAUUGAAUGUGGUUGCAUUUUGUUAUCUCCUCGGUGUUGUACAUCGAUAAGUCCAACCUCAGAUUCGGAGGUAACAUCUGGGACAAGCACCCAUAGAAAUCUGAAAAAGGCAGCGUUAAUAUUGACCUCUAUGUUACCAACUUAUACUCUUUUGUUUUUGAACAACGAAGAGCUUGAAGCCUUAUAAAAUGGUAAAUAUCAAAGCCAUGUGAUGGAGGUUGGUAUUUCAAUGAGGACAAGGUUUUGGACAGCUUAGUAUGGCUUGGAUAUGUAAUUUAGAUGUUGGCCAAUUAAGUAAACAGUAUGUUUAUAUCAAGAUCACUCUACACAAGUAUAUAUUUCUUGGCAUUUGAAAAUAUGGUUUUUGCGUA